rnacentral:lncRNA from 1 species
UCUUCAGCUGGUUUGGCUUCGGGGCGGGAGCCCUCACGUGUGGCAUUUCCCCGUGGUAUCAGAGCAGGACUACAGACCUCCCAUAGGAGAGAUCAAGCUACCUUUCACCUAUGAAAUGUGUUUGUUCCACUCUGAGAGGGCUGCAGUCCUUGUGAUGGGGAUAUCAUUAAAAGGCACGGGGGAGCUAGAGUCAACUUUGGAGAGACUCAUAGAUGAAUGGUAA